GAGGGAGGGAGGAGGACUUCCAUCUCUGAACUGAAGGACCCAGUGGGGAUUGAUGCAAUAUCGUACCUUCCUGCCUGGCACAUCCUGGUCAUUACCGGGGCCCCAGGCACCGGGACGAGGCUGGUGUGGGAGGGUAGGUGCCAGGCUGUAUCCCCACGUAGAAAUUGCCAGUAAUGGCAAGUCAGCCCAGCCCCCACCUGCUCCCAGUCACUGGGGCCGAAGGAGCCGUGUGCUGACCCAUCGUACUUCCUGCCUGGGCUCGUUUGUCAGGGCAGGCUGGCCUCUCCUUCCCCUUCAAGGUGCUGGCCAUCACUUUCCCAUGCUCUUCCCAGGCCUUUGACUUGAGCCCAGCUGUCACAUAAAGACACGGCUCAAUGGGGCGCCUGGGUGGCUCAGCGGGUUAAGCGUCUGACUCUUGAUUUCAGCUCAGGUCAUGAUCUCACAGUUUGUGGGAUGGAGCUCGGUGUCUCCAUGCUGGGCUCCGUGUUGACAGUGUGGAGCCUGCUUGGGAUCCUCUCUCUCCCUCUCUCUCUCUGCCCCUCCCCCACUUACAUGCAUGUGCACGUGCAGCUCUCUCUAAAAAAUAAAUAAGCUGAAAAAAAAACACAAAAAACCCACAGUGGGAUGGACUCUGAGCCAGAAGAGGUGCAGUGGGGCCCCUUGAGGUGGCAUGGUGGCGGGGGAGGACUGCUGGGCCGGUCCAGGUCCCCGCACUCCUGCACUGAGCCUGGGCACAUGGGGGUAUUCUGCUGAUCCUGGCGUCUCCGUGCUGCGGGCAUGAGAGGACCCAAGAGGUGAAGCUGGGCCGGCUGCAUGAGCCCUUGUGUCCGUCCUGGGAAGGAGGAGGGCGGAGAGGAGCUGUGGGGUGGAGGGCGACCACGGUCCCCAGCUGAGGGGCCCGGGGCCACCCUGGGCCUGGAUUGUCCAGGAGGUCUCACCAUGGCCCACAGCAGGACAGGUAUUCAGGAGGUGGGGACUGCCACCAUCAGACUGGCUCAUGGGCUCCAGCAGAGGUAGGCUGUAGUCAGAGGCCCAUCCAGGCCUCGGCCCCGCCUGCACCUCCCUCUGGCUGAAAGGCUCUGUGUCCCUGCGGCAGGGGCUGCUCGGUGCAGGACACACUGACAGGGCCGGGGGCCUGUUCGCCCGCUGGGGCCUGGAAUGGAGCUUCUGGUCCCCGGUGGGCCCCUUGGGAGUGGAAGCUGUGGAAGCCCGGGGCCCUGGGGCGCCGGGACCCUACCUGCUGCAGCUCCUGGCUGCCCUCCGACCUCAGGGUUAAAGGCAUGGUGAGGUCCGCGGCUGGUGCCUGGCACAUUGUGUCGGUGGCUCCAGGCUGACCUUUGCUCACCUCCUCCCGGGGCCUCGGGCCCUGAACCUUCGCCCUCCUGUUGCCACUCCCAGUGGCGGCCGUGCCCGGCUGCUGAGGCCACCUAUCUGCUCAGUGGCUUGGGGUGCUUCUCACCACCUGUGCUCCCCGGCCCUCUGCCUCCCUUCUCUCCUCUCUCUUCUCUGCCUUCUCACUUCUUACCCCUUUAGACCUUCCAGGAGCUGGCAAGGAUGUGCUCGUUCACUCGCCCACUUAUUCUUUUGUUUUGGGGGUUUGAUUUUUUUUUUUUUUUUUACAUUUUGUCCCCAUGAUCAUCUCUUAUUUAUUUUAUAACUGGAAGUUUGUACAUUUUGAUCCCCUUCAUCCAUUUCACACAACCGCACCCCACCCCCACCUCUGGCAACUACCUGUUCUCUGCAUCUGUGAGUUUGGGUUUUUGUUUUUUUGUUUUUUGUUUUUUUUCGAUACCACAUACAAGCGAGAUCACACAGUAUUUUUCUCCGUUUGACUUACUUCACUUAGCAUAAUGCCCUCAAGGUCCGGUUUAUUCUCCAACUGACAACGUGCGGGACCCUCAGAGAUCCAGGGAUGAAGGUUCAGCCCUGGAGGAGGUCCCCACUCUGAAAGGAGUCACGUGUAGAAACUGCUGGGGAUCCCGUUAAUGCAGCAGAGUAAGGGGGAGGGGUGUCAAGGAAAGCUGUCUGGAGGAGGAGGAGGGGUGAAGCUAAGACUUAAAGGCAGAGAGAAUUUUACCAGCAGCUGCGCCUUUUCAGGGGGACCCAAAGCAGAGUGUACUGGGGUGAGGUCUGCAUGUUGGGCCUGGGCCUCGAAGGAGUGGCUGGAUUUUGGAAACUUCAGCACUAGCAGAAUUAGCAUUAUCAUGAGUGGUAAUACCAUAGAGGAAGAGCUCUGAGGCCGCCUCCCCCACCUGCCUGGCCAACUGGAUGGUGGGGUGGUGUGGGCACCGCCCAGGCCCUGAGCUCCAGCAGACAAGCGGGAACCUACCACUGACCACCUUCCUGGGUCACACAGAGCCCUGCCUCUCCCCUUCACUAGCUUGAUCAUUAGACCAGAACUUAACCCGGGGAGGAUUUGAGGAGAGACUUCCUGACCCAAAAUAGUUCUGCUGUGGCAGCACGGGGCCCCAAAAGCCCCCCGCACAGAAGUGUUCCUCAGGUGAAGGUGUCCCACCUGCAGGGGCCCUCAGUUAAAACAUGAAGUCUCAGAGAAGGGGACCAGUGGUGUUUGAGGCUGGCCGUGGAUUCCUCUCAGUGCUCUGUGAGCAGAUGCCAUCCAGGGAGUCUGAGUAGCGGAAGGGCCCUGGUCACUGUAGGGCAAGCAGGCCAUCCCUGUCUGUCUCACCUCACCCCGAUCCCAAUGCCAGGGGGAGAGAUCCUGAGUGGGAAGAGGCUCCCCAGACCAGACAGGUAUGGAGAGAGGCUCCUCUACUUGAGAAAGUCUCCCCCACAUGGCAGAAAUCCAGCUGCUAACCAUUUAGGCUCACUCAUCCUGCAAAGAGACGAGGCCACCUACUGUGACCCUUCUUAUUGGGGUCGAAUUGUGUCCCCCCAAAAGAGCUCUUCAAGUCCUAACGCCCUAUACCUGGGAUUGUAACCUUAUUUGGAAAUGGGGUCUUUGCAGAUGUAAGUUAGGGUGAGGUCCUACUGGAUUUAGGGUGGGCCCUAAUCCAGUGACUGGGGUCCUUAUAAAGGAAAGCAGGGGGAGAUUCAGACAGAGAGAUGCAGACACACAAGGAAGAAGGCCAUGCGAUGAUGGAGGCAGAGACUGGGGUGCCGUGCCUAUAGGCCAAAGAAGGCCAAGGAUUGCCUGAAGCCACCAGAAGUAAGGAGAGUGCCGAGGAUAGAUUCUUCCCUAUAACCUUCAGAGGGAGUAUGGCCAUACAGACACCUUGCUUUUGGAUUUCUAGCCUCCAGAACCGUUAGAGGAUAAAUGUUUCAGGUCACCCAGUUUGGGAUACCUUGUUAUGGCUUCCACAAGAAACUAAUACACUUACAUCCAGAGUGAGCUACCUUUGGCUUGUGCCUCGAUCCCUUGGCCUGACAGCCAGGUUUGGGGUGUGUCUGUUGGUGAGUCACAUGAGGCGGCAAGAUGGGGGCCUGCACCUGGACUGUCCUUCUCUCUCUCAAGAAUUAUUUGUUGAUCACCUACUGGGGUCCAGGCACAGUAGUGGUGGAUAGACAUGAACAGAGGCACGGCCCAGCUGACACUCCAGUCUGGGGAAAGAGUGUGGGAAAACCCGUAAGGUUCAUGGCCUAGGCCACAGCCCACCAUGUGGGAUUCCUGUGAACAGUGCAGGGGUGCUGUGACCCAGGCGGUCAUGGAUUGCCAGAGCAGCUGAAGGCCAGCGAGCUGGGGGUGGGGGGCAUGUCAGGGCCGGUGGGGUGCUUGGUGGGAAGCUUGCUGGGCUUUCCAGCCCCACUUGGGGGACACCAGAGUUGGGCUGGCUCCCUGUGUCUCAGGCCAUCAGCGCUCACAGUGGUGACCACCUUGGUGACCUUACAAAGUUGACCCCAAAGGCUCAGAGAGGUCAGGAGGCUGUCUGUCUCAGGUACAGUGUGGAUGACUCAGUGGUCCUCCUGCCAGAGGAAAGAAGGCCUGGCUGGGAGCCGAAGGGGAAGCCAGAGACAGGGACCCAGAGGCUCUGGGGUCUGGGCAGGGGCUCCCCCCCGUCACGAGGUGGUCCCUGUCAGAAGAUCCCUUUGCUUCCCACACCACGAAGUGUUUCUGAAUUGUCCGCCCCACCUCACCACUUGGGUCGCAUCUCAAACUCAGCAUGCCCUACACCCCACCCUCUCAGCACAUCUUUCUCAAAGAUGCCUCUCAUGCCUUUCCCUUCCCCCUUUACUCAUGGUCCCCGGAACAAGUGCACUUUGUCAAAAUUCAAACUUGCUCCCCUUUCUGAAAGAUGACAGUGAAACACGUCCAUCAUAAAAAAAAUGAUUGAAUAUGGAAAAGUAGAAAGGACAAAGCACCUGUACCACAUGGGUUUAUUUCCUUUCAGUCUUUUUUCUGUGAAUUAAAGUUUUUAAUGUUUUAUUUUAUUUUUGAGAGAGAGAGAGAACACAAGCAGGGGAGGGACGGGGGGGGCGGGGGACACAGAAUCUGAAGCAGGCUCCAGGCUGUCAGCACAGAGCCCGAUGCGGGGCUCGAACCCACAAACCGCCAGAUCAUGAGCUGAAGUCAGAUGCUUAACCAACUAAGCCACCCAGGUGCCCCUUUCCUAUGAAUAGUUGACAUUGUUUUUAUCUUACAUUUCCAUCCCUGCCCUCCCCAACUCAGUAUAAUAUUGCAUUUUCUUGGACCCUGAAAAUUCUUUGUAAAAUAUCUUUUUAAGAGACUGCUCAAAAUCUGCUUAAAUCCCUUGGCAGUUUCCAUGGCUUUCUGGGUACUAAAAUUUACUAAAAUUCACCGUUCAGCUCUCAAGGUCAGUCAUGACCUGACACCUGCUUCCCUCCCUCUCCUUACUCCCUCCUGAACCCCCUGGAUCCCUCCCAAAGGAGCAUGGACACACGGUCCCGAGUGCCCCUCUGCCCACCGUCCCCCACAGGGUACUCUGCUGUCCCCAGGGCCACCUCCGUGGCUCAGGAAGGCAAUCCUCCACCCCUCGUUGGGACGGGAACUGGGGCAGGUCUAUACCCUAGUGGGGACUGCGUCCAUCCCCUCCAGAGCUUCCGUUUGUGUCCAGAUCCCACCCAGUGGAAUGAAGGAAGGGCCUUGGGAUUCUGGGAAGGAAAGCCUUCCUCCCCGAUGCAAAGACACAUACAGGGGAACUGCUGCUCCUCUCAGGUGACCAUCACUUCGGAUGGAUGUGACACCUGAAGCUGUGACCGGUGACCGUGGGGGCAGAGAUCACCAAGAGUUGAGAAUGAGAGUGGCACGGAAGCAAGAUGGAAGGCUGGCCUUCCUUGAUGAAUUGUUGAGCGGGGCACCCGGUUCACUGCUCAUUCUGCCUCUGGAUUUCUUGUGAUGUUGCUUAUUGUUUAAGUCACUAUUGAUUACCACCAGGGCACCCAGACUGACCUUUCCUCCUUCUCUCCGUGGUCCCGGGCCAGCCCAUGCUAUGAGGCCUCCGCGUCUGCCCCAGGAGGGCCCCACUCAUACUCCAGCACUGCCCCAACCCCCUCUCCCGGGGCUGCCGAGCCCCCUACCCCCCACCUGCGCUGAGGCCCUACUGGGUUCCCUGCCACCCCUUGCCACACCCUCCAGCACUGGUGUCACUCUAUCACAGUAUCUCUGUCACUGGACACUGUCAGGCCUGGGUGCCCUGGGGUGACUGGGAAUUUCUCAAGGUCAGUGGCCAUGCCUCAUUUGGGGUGAGCCCACUGCACUUGGUACACAGUAGGUGCUCAGGAAAUGUGAGCUGAGUGAACAUUAGUAUUGGUCCCCUGCCUUUGAGCCUUUUGUGCUUAGUGUGUGCUAUGGACUGAAUUGUGCCCCCCCCCCCCGAUUUAUACAUUGAAGCUCCACCUCCCAAUGUGACAAUAUCUGGGGAUGGGGCAAUUAGGCUCUGAUGAGGUCAUGAGGAUGGGGCCCCAUGAUAGGAUUAGUGCCUUGUAAGAAGAGACAUGAGAGGCAUCUGGGGGGCUCGGUCAGUUAAGUGUCCUACUCUCUUGAUCUCGGCUCAGGUCCUGAUCUCACAGUUCGUGAGAUUGAAUUCCACAUCAGGCUCUGCGCUGACAGCAUGGGAUUCUCUCUCUUCCUGUCUCUCUGCCCUUCCCCUGCUUACACACACAUACAAACACACACACACACACACUCUCUCUCUCUCUUUCAAAAUAAAUAAACAUUAAAAAGAGAGAGAGAGACACAAGAGACUUGCUUCCUCUCUCUCUGCCAUGUGAGGACACAGCAAGAAGGUAGCCAUCUGCAUGCUGGGAAGAGGGUCCUCACCAGAGUCUGACCACCCUGGCACCCUGGGCUUGAAAUUCAGCCUCCAGAACCAUGAGAAAUAAAUCUGUGUUAGGCCAUCCAGUUCAUGAUGUUUUGUUAUGGCAGCCUGAGCUAAGACUGUGUUGUUGGCCAUGGCCAACUGUUGCUUAACAUUGUGGUGUGGGAGCAUGCUGUUCUCUUCAGGGCAGGGCCUGAACCUUCUUCCUUUCUAGGCCUCUCCCUCCCAUGGACCCCGGGGACUGGCCCAGGCCACCAGUGGAACACUGGAUGGCCCACAUGGCCUGCUCUGAAAUGACCCCUUUUUACCUGCUAAGGGGUCCCAAGUGGGGUGUAUGGGUAGACAGGGCCUCGGGGAUAUCCCAGGCAAGGCCCCUUGUCCCCAUUCGUGACUUCUGCCCAAAGUCUUUUGGGAGGAUGGUGGCCAACAGAGACAAUCCCAGACUGGACGCCUGGCCCUGUCUGGACUCCUGAGGCCUGGGCCUGGGCCAAGGUGGCCACAGCCCUGAUCUCCCAGCUCUUGGGAAUAUGCUUGAUAUUGUUAGAGCUCCUGUGAGUCACCGCGAGCACCCCCGGGUUAGGGCAGAGUCUGGCCCAGUCCUCAAGGUCAACCAGGAGACCAGGCUCAGGUGUCCCAUGCAGAGGGACAAGAAUGUGGUCAGGGACCAAGGACAGAGUGGGAGGCUAAGUGGAGGUGGAACAGAGAGAAGGCAAGCGAGGGCUUGAGCAGAGAAAGGGGCCUUAAGUAAUGUUCAAAUGACCAGGACAGCAAGGACAGCAAGGCCCUCUCUGUGCCAGCCAGGGAGUCCUGUCAUUAAACAUGCUUCACAGUGGGAGGUUGGUGUAUCUGGGGUGUGGCAGGGCAGCCUGAGGGGCGGGUCAGGGGCAGCCCUGGCUGGACAUCAGCAUUGGCCCGGGGCAACUGCCACCAAGUGUGGGAAGGCCCAGACUUUGUUCUCAUUGGCAGCUGGUUACCCAGCAGGCGGGGUGGUGGGGGGCUGGCUUCCCGGAAAGGUCUAGGCUGGUGGGCAAGUCUUUGAACUUCCCACCCCACUCACUGCCCCUCGUUAAAACCUGGAAGGGCAAGGUCAAAAUGCCAGGGUGGCCUCGAGGGAUGGAACUUUUGCCACAUGUCACGUUUCAGCUCCAGAGAGUGGCUCAGGCCCCAGGGAGGCCAGAGGGGAGGGUCACAGCGUGGUGAAGAGGAAGGAGGACUGGUGUCACUCGUGGGUGGGUCGGGUGAGGCACCUGUCCAGGAGGGCAGGCCCCUGUGACAGACAGGGUGGGGGAGCCAGCCGGGCUUUGGCAGGACAAGAGAUGUGAUGGACACAUGGCCCAAGAUUCUGCACAGGAGUGUUGCUCACGUCCCAGGAGAGAGCUUGAGGCCCAGGUCGGCUGUGGCGGAGGCCUGGUGCAGGGUGAGAGGACACACACACGGGAGGGGAGAGGUAGGGGCUGUGGGGAGCAGAGAGCUGAGCUGCUGUGGUGGAGAAAGGCUUCAGAACCACUUCCCCUGCCCCGCCCUUCCGCAAGCUAUUUAACAAACAGGACAUCCUACAAACGCAGAGAGAAGGUGGCCUGUGCGCUCUGGGGAGUGGCCGUCUAUCCCCGUUUCCUCCUGGAGGUCAGGACCAACCACCCCAGCCAACACAACUGCCCUUUGGAAGGACUAUCGAGGGGAAAUAGCGUCGCUGCCACAAAAUGGAGAGAGGCUUGUGGCCAGACUCGGGGAGGUCCCCUAGGCUCCUCUUAGUUCUAGGGAAAUGAAAGCCAGCAGCAGGGACCAAGAGUGGGCUCAGGUCCCACGGUGUGAGUGACCCCACCGGGUUAAGUAACCCAACUAACCCAAGGGCCUGCAGAGGACAAAGGGAGUGUGGAGUCACAGAGGGGACAAGCCGUCCCGUGAUCUGUCACGGAAAGCACAGCAUCUGUUCUUUUGCAACCCUGCUGCGUCAUACCGAUUUUGCUAUACUUCACCCAUUUUAAUGUUCUUUCCUCUCUUUCCCCCACUAUAAUACAGGGCAGCUGUUCUCAAAGUUUGUGGCCACAGAACCCCUUUAACUCUUAAAAGUUGUUGAGGACCCCAAAGAGCUUUUUGUUUGGGUCCUGUCAACAUUCACCAGGAAAGAAAUUAAAGCCAAGAGCUUUAAAAAAAAUAUCAAUUCAUUUAAAAGCAAUAAGUUCACCAUGCUAACUUUUUUUGAUGAAAAAUAACCAUAUUUUCCAAAACAAAAACUUUUUUUUUUUUUUUUUUUGAUGAGUAGGAGCGCAAUAAUUGAUUUUGCAUUCUGCAGACGUUUAAUGUCUGGCUUAACAGACUGCAUUCCCACGUCUGUUUCUGCAUUCAGUCUGUCGCAGUCUGUCCUCUCGGUCCAAGAUAGGAGAGUUGGCUUCCCCACCCUGGAAGGUGCAAUUGGAAAAGGGAGGACCAUGCUGUGGUAGUGAACUUUAAUCCACACCUUCUGGAAUAGAUGGCAGCACAAACCAGAGGGCGGAGCGACAUCUCCCAGGGUAGUUGUCUUUGAAACUAUCUUGCGACAUCUGUGCAGACUGUCAUCGUUCCCUGGGCGUGUACCGGCCAACCCCCACCCCGAGCUCGGCUUUGUGCUCUGACCAACGGAACGAGUAUGCCCGAUACACACGUGUGGGCAGGGGCUGGGUUGUGCUUGCAGGGGUUGGCUUGGCCUCUUGUGCUUCUGCCAUGAGAAAGAAGAACAUGCCCCAGGGAGCGCUCCUCCUUCACCUGGGACCCAGAGCAGAAUAAGGGACGCAUUGUGGAACAGACCUGGAUCAGACCCAGGGCCCAGCGUGGAACCGCCACAGCUGACUUGUAGACCGGAGAGCGCGAGUCUGCAAGCCGCUGAGAUUUCCGAGCAAAAGCUAACCCAUCACCUUACAGGAGGAACUCGUUCCAGAGUUUGACACAUGCUAAAUAUUGUGGAGAGUCCGCAUUACGAGGUAGUAAGUCCCCAGGCACAGCUGAGAGAGCAUAUUGACUGUUACAGUCACCUCCGCUGUCUUUAUCUAAUGGUUUGAGGCGGGAACAGGUACCUGACAGGACAGGGAGAAAGCUUAUCACCUUCAGACCCUGGCUCUCCAACUCCGGGAGGGAGCGGGGGUUGGGUGAGUGUGGGGAAGGUCGGAGGGAUUGUACCAAUUGCCAACAACCCCUAGCCUGAUGCCCGUAGACAGGAGGGGCUGGCCAUCCCACUGCGGCCCCCAAACCCACCGCUCGAUUCCUCCAGCAGCCUGCUCCUCCACUCCUGAGUCUUCCUGAAGUGCAAGUUCAUGUCUUUGAGAUAUCACUUGAGGCUGGGAAGGGUGGUCAGGGGCUCUGUGCUCCCGAAUACAAAGAUGGGCCCGAAGUUCGGGGCAGCAUUUUGCACACCCAGCUCUUGCUAUUUGCUUGUUAUCCCCCACGGCGCGUGCUAUCUUGUCACUGUCACUUUUGUGUACUUUGUGCACAUGGGGAGGAAGCACAUCUGAAUCAUGUCUGGCUCAGGGUAGGUCCUCAAUAAAUGUUUGAAAAAAACAAAUGAA